CCGGGCGCACGGGUGCGUAACGCGUAUGCAACCUACCAUCAACAGGGGGAUAACACUGAGAAAUUGGUACUAAUACCCCAUAAUAUCUCAUGCGGCAUCGCAUGGGGUUGAAAACUCCGGUGGUUGAUGAUGGGCAUGCGUUGUAUUAGCUGGUUGGUGAGGUAACGGCUCACCAAGGCGACGAUACAUAGGGGGACUGAGAGGUUAACCCCCCACAUUGGUACUGAGACACGGACCAAACUCCUACGGAAGGCAGCAG
rnacentral:rRNA from 1 species